UACGGGGGGGGCAAGCGUUGUUCGGAAUUACUGGGCGUAAAGGGCUCGUAGGCGGCCAACUAAGUCGGACGUGAAAUCCCUCGGCUUAACCGGGGAACUGCGUCCGAUACUGGAUGGCUUGAGUUUGGGAGAGGGAUGCGGAAUUCCAGGUGUAGCGGUGAAAUGCGUAGAUAUCUGGAGGAACACCGGUGGCGAAGGCGGCAUCCUGGACCAACACUGACGCUGAGGCACGAAAGCGUGGGGAGCAAACAGG
rnacentral:rRNA from 1 species